rnacentral:tRNA from 1 species
GGCUUCGUAGCUCAACUGAAUAGAGCACUACAUUACGGCUGUAGAGGUUUCAGGUUUGAAUCCUGACGAGGUCACAA